rnacentral:miRNA from 1 species
UGUGUUUAGGAUGGGUGGAAUUGUUUACUGUGAACCCAUGAGUAAGAACACUCCCCUUGGGCUGGAGAGAUGGCUCAGCUCUUAAUGGUUAGGCUCACAACCAAAAAUAUA